CCCCUAGUGGUUCAGAUGGUAAAGUGUCUGCCUGCAAUGCAGGAGACCCAGGUUCGAUCCCUGGGUUGGGAA
rnacentral:tRNA from 1 species